rnacentral:rRNA from 1 species
UACAGAGGUCUCAAGCGUUGUUCGGAUUCAUUGGGCGUAAAGGGUGCGUAGGCGGCGCGGUAAGUCGGGUGUGAAAGCCCUGGGCUCAACCUAGGAAGUGCACUCGAAACUGCGAAGCUGGAGUCCUGGAGAGGAAGGCGGAAUUCUCGGUGUAGAGGUGAAAUUCGUAGAUAUCGAGAGGAACACCGGUGGCGAAGGCGGCCUUCUGGACAGUGACUGACGCUGAGACGCGAAAGCGUGGGGAGCAAACAGG